rnacentral:tRNA from 1 species
GGGCGAAUAGCUCAGCGGUAGAGCGCUUCCCUUACAAGGAAGAUGUCGGGGGUUCGAUCCCCUCUUCGCCCACUA